rnacentral:rRNA from 1 species
UACGGAGGGUGCAAGCGUUAUCCGGAUUCACUGGGUUUAAAGGGCGCGUAGGCGGCUUGGUCAGUCCCGUGUGAAAUCCCUCGGCUCAACUGAGGAACUGCACGGGAAACUGCCUGGCUUGAGUUCGGGAGAGGGAAGCGGAAUUCCGGGUGUAGCGGUGAAAUGCGUAGAUAUCGGGAGGAACACCUGUGGCGAAAGCGGCGCACUGGACCACAUCUGACGCUGAGGCGCGAAAGCUAGGGGAGCAAACAGG